ACCUGGAAUAAUGAGAGCAGAUCUAUUAAUGUGGUGAAGAAACAGUACGGGAGAAUACACGGAAGAGUGAAGUGAGUCAUCCUCUUCACAAGGUGGUUUCGCUUAUGAGUUCGCCUUCUCAGUCUCUACCUGUAUGCCUUCUGGAGUAAGAAUGCUUCAUGAUACCAAAUCCACUUCAGGAAGAACAAUUCAGAGCUGGAAGUCUCAGGUCUGAGUUUCUGGGUGGCAGAUAUACAUUUUUUGAAUAGCAUCCCAUCAAAUC
rnacentral:lncRNA from 1 species